rnacentral:lncRNA from 1 species
GAAAAAGAAAGGUAUGUAUUAACAUCGUAACAUUACAGGUACACCAUCUUAGGCUUAUGAAAAUCUUGAACAUUUUCUAGAAACAGUUUAAUAUAAGGCUUUUGAGAUUGUUAAACAAAAUAAAGUAACAUUACAUGAAAAUCUUUUUUUUAUCACUUUUUGCAGGUACUUCAGAUGCUGUAUUUGAUCUUAACUAUUAACAAGUGCAUUCAUUGAGCAGAGGACAUAAAAGGGCAACAUGACUUAGUUUGUACAAGUCUACACUUACAUUUAAUUACCUCAUUCUAAUUUUCUGUUUACACUGGGACUCUUUGAAAUUUAAAUAUACAUUACUGAUGUAAUAGUUUUUCUUUCUAGGUGCACAAAAUGAAUGGAAACGAAACGGAGGCAUCUGUACAGUAUUUUCGUCGCGAGCGGCGGCGAAGCAGUAUCACAUGGAAUGAUUAUGUCAGGAUCAAAGCUUCUCUUAAACAAAUGAAGGAUCAGCGACGCACAGGACCUUCCCGGUACCUCUCUUUUGAAUCGAACUGGAGAAUAUUUCCAAAUGAACGAAGCAAAGAAGAUUGCUAUAGAAUUAUGUUUUGGAUAAUAUUUGUUUUAUUAAUAGUGUUCAUCUGUUUUCUGUGUGUUUAUUCAAGAGAAUUCCUUUAACUGCCA